rnacentral:rRNA from 1 species
CCUACGGUGGUCAGCAGUUAGGAAUAUUGGUCAAUGGCCGGAAGGCUGAACCAGCCAAGUCGCGUGAGGGACGACUGCCCUAUGGAUUGUAAACCUCUUUUAUCAGGGAAGAAAAAAUGCUACGUGUAGCUUGAUGCCUGUACCUUAUGAAUAAGCAUCGGCUAACUCCGUGCCAGCAGCCGCGGUAAUACGGAGGAUGCUAGCGUUCUCCGGAUUUAUUGGGUUUAAAGGGUGCGUAUGCGGUUUUUUAAGUUAGUGGUUAAACGUAUGGGCUUCACCUUGAUUUGUCGUUGAUACUGUAAGACUCGAGUGCAUACGAGGUAGGCGGAAUAAGUGAAGUAGCGGUGAAAUGCUUAGAUAUAACGUAGAACUCCGAUAGCGAAGGCAGCUUACCAG